rnacentral:lncRNA from 1 species
UCCCCAAAUUUCAAAUUAUUAGAAGUUAUCCAAAUCAAAAUCCUUAGCAUCCAGUGAUCAUUCUCAGCACUAAAUAAUCUUGACAAUAAAUAUUUUUCACCAUUACAAGGAAUAAACGAACAAGAACCACUGCCCAAACUUGCUAAUAGUUCGACAUUAUCGGUUAAAACAGCUGCAUUCGAUGCAAAGAAGGACAUUGAGCUCGGCGUGAGUCACACUACAAGCAAGAAAAUAUUAUGAGUUUCCCUUUGGUUUUAAACUGAAGGUGGCAUAUAAUUUGGGGUUAAACGUACCUGGUAAAUAACUUGAACAGAAAAUGAUUCGUGCUUCUUGCCGAGGGAGGCACAAUCGCUCUCUUCCUUCUGCCUUCAUAUGUUAUCUGUAGUCUUGUGCUACGCCUUAUCGAGGAUUUAUCUGACAUUGUUGUUUACAUAUAUGAAGGAAAUUACGAAUUAAAUCUCCCUUUCUCUAAAGAUUAAAAAAUAAAAAUAAAAUUGAAGCUUCGUAAAGAAGAACAAGGACCCAAUAGAUGCCGGUUGAGUAUUAUUUUGGCACAAUUGAGUUGUUGUUGAAUUAAGUCUUGCAAAAUGUAGAACUUGCAAGUGUAUGAUUUUGAACCAAUUGUAUGAAUAAGAUAAACAGACGCAAUAAAAUUCAGUGCAAAAUUGAAUUCUAAACAGAUCAGACCACCCACUCAAUAAAAUAUAUAUAUUCACAAGUGAACAAAGAGCGCCAUGUUUUACUGAAAAUCAUAAGAUAAAUAUUAUGGAUUAUUUUAAAGUACAUGGAUAUAUGAUUGUAGACUAUACAGUAAAAUCCCAAAACUACUUAUUCAAGUUUAAGCCAUUUGGCUUGUUUCUUCUUCAUCAUGUUACAUUGAGCAAUCUUCUUACAUCAUGUGGUGCCCCUUCUUCUGUAUUGAAUUCCAAACACAAAUUCCACAAACCAUCUAGUUAAGAUUAUGAUAUAAGUCCUAUAUGUGUAAGUUGAAAGGACCGGAGUUUAGUAGCGCCACGCAUAAAAAUUAUAGCAAUGAAGUUUGGAUUUAAAUUCUUGGUCUCCAUAUGUAUGUUAUGAUUUUUCGUAUUUAAAUAUGAGAUGCAAUUUUUAUUACUCGUUUACGGGGAUUUAUGUCUCAUACGUAUAUGUUAAACCUAUUAUAAGUAAUUAAAAAGACAGGUUCGAUAUCAUCGGAGGUAGAUUGUACUUGUAUUGGUGAAAAGGAAGAAUAAAUUAUGUAGUUUAAGGAAUUUUAGUACUGUUUAUCAUAUUUCCCUUUAAACUAAUUUUAAAUCUUUAUAUUUAAAGAAAAUAUUAAUUUUUUCCUUUUCUUUAAUAAAGUAUUCUUUACAGCACAUAUAUAAUGAUUCCAAAGGUAAAAAGUUUGGAUCGUUACAGGAGCAAUCGUGCAAACGAAGGAACUAAAGUCUCAUCAAUGGUCCAAAUGUUAAGGCAAUAUCAUCUCAUUAGACAUGUAAUAUAAAGAAAUGACGCAAAGAAAGAAAGAAUUCUCAUAAUUGAUACUAUUGCAGAUCCAUUGACAAUUGCCACGCAUAAACAUGAUUGUCAUAUAGACCCGUAUGAUAUUAAAAACAUAAGUGAUUGAAUUUAGUGUAAGUGGGUGUUUGUAAGUGUUAUGUUCUAAAUACAGUUAGCUUUGAUAUAAAUACCUUUAAUAUAUAUAGUUGGUGCAUUUCAUUUAUGGUAGAUUUAUUAUUUAAUUUAAUUAAUAUUAUAAUAAAUUAAAUAAUAGAAUUCGUAGAUAUAAGUUUUGGUAAUUUGUUAAUCAUAUGGAGUUAUGAUUAUGAGAUAAAAAUUAUCUGUAUUGAAUCUUAAAUCAUUCGUGAUCGUAAAUAAUAACGAGAUACGAUUAUUGUUAUUACAACCAUUACUAGUGUCAUUUCUUACGUGUGAAAGAAGUGACAAAUUUCACAAGCUAAAGUGUGAUACUUAAAUGAACAGGUGGAUGAUUUAUCAUAGAGCAAAAUAGUAGAGACUUGCUGAGGAGAUUCCACAUUGGUUAAUCUCUAAUGUUUGGUAGUAGAAUUGGUCUUUUGAUUUGAGGUCGUCAUAGUAUUUUAUAUGAGAAAAGUCAUACUUUGGUGAUAUGGAAUGUUGCUCUGCCAAGAGUAGCUAUUACGACAUUAUUCAGGUAUGUUAAAAAUCAGACGAAAGUUGUGAAUGAUCAAUAGAGAAUUCUUCACUCUUAGAUAGUAAGAAAUUAUAAUCUAUAGUUCAUCCAAUUAAGUUUAUAAUGAAAUCCUUGGUCAAAGUGUAUUCAUAAGUUGAAAAGGAAUUUUCGACUUAUAUCGACUUAAUAAUGGCAUGAAAGAUAUGAUUGACAAUUAUGAUUAACAUAUUUUCAUAUCUCGUAAUUGAUCGGAUCUUAUUGACGAGGGGAUUAUAGUUUUACAAUAAACGAACAAGUUUGACUUUAUCAUACCACUUGAUAUUUUUCGUUACAUGUAUUGCCCUAGCAUAUUGCUAGAUGUCAAUCUGGGACGACAAAUGUGAAUUUGUGAUAAAUUAAGAAGUGAUAUUUUAAUUUAUUAAUUUUGAUUAGAUUAAAAUAAUAAUUCAUGUCAAUCAAUGUCGUGAUUGGAAACCUAAUAGGUCACACACAAAAGGAAAACUAGAAUAAUGAAAUUUGAUAAUUAAUUAAUUGACAAGUGUUGACAAUAAAUUAAUUGGGUUGCUUAUUAAUAGGUCCGAAUUAAUUAAUUCAUGGAUCAAAUUUAAUUAAUUGGAUUAAUUAAAUGUUGGAACGGGUUAAGUUUAAAGACAGCACAAGUCCAAUUGGACUUAUAUUAAGAAGAUGCUAGGGUAUAGAGAAAUUAGAAGAAAACAUAAUUAAUCUUGCUAGCAUAGGAAAAAUAAAACCCAUAAUUCUCCCAAUCUUGUUUCCUGUGUGGAUUUCCAUUUGAGGCAGAUGAUUGGAUAGCUGAGGAUUGCAGAUGGUGAUUGUUUAUGUUACAAGAUCGACAAAGGAGUUUGUAGAAUUCAACAAAGGUAUAAUUAUUAUCACAGUUUCUAUCUAAAUACAAAAUAGAUCUUUGGUUAGAAUUGUACUUUAUUUUAUUUUUCACUGUGCAUGAUUAAAUAAAUUCCCAACAAAAGGAAUGUCUCACUUUUUCGUUUCAUAUGUUCAUUUUAUCAACAAUUGCAUUGGUUUAAAUCAAUAACGAAACUCGAAAGACUAGAAUCCAAGUUGUUAUCAAUAAUUUUCGAAAUUUUUGAAUGAGUAAUGAGAAAGUUGAGUACCAAAUGAAUCGCCAAAUCAUACUUUGAGAUAUUCCUUAAGACAUGUUACAAAAUACACUGAAAAUACAGAAUCCCUUUGAAGGUGAAAAUCUCCAGAAUGUUCUGGUAAGGCUACCCACCACCAUAUGGAGAAAUUAAAUUGAGAAGUAUAACUUUGGAAAAACCUAGAAUCAUCCCUACAUCAUUCAUCCACUAACAUAGUAGAAUAAACUAGAAUGUUUGCUAGGCACCACCAUAAUGGAAAAUGUGUAGAAGAAGGAAGCCACUGACAUUACUCCUCUAUAAAUAUGUUCUUGCCUACAGUAAUAAAUGUGUGUGUAAUGAGAAGAGAAAGAGAGUGAGUAGAGAGAGGCACUGAUCAAUAUUGUGAGAGUUGUGUGCUUGGUUUGUAAAAAUAUAUUUAUUAAUAAAAAAAUCAUUUCCUUUGGGGCUUUAAACUCAACAAUUUGGUAUCAGAGCGAGGUGGUCAGGAUGCAUUUUCGAGCUUCUUGAGAUCGUGCACAAAAAGAGAUUGUGAAGCUUUAUUAAAGCUUGCUUAAUUACGACGAGACAAAUCAAGUCAUAAUGAGCGACUUACAAGUGGUAGGCGGAAUAAAAAAGCUCAAUAAUCAGAACUACAUCACAUGGUAAACUUGCAUGGAGUCAUAUCUCCAAGGCAAAACCUAUGGGUAGUAGUUGGCUGAAGUAAGUGACGCAGCUAGAGGAAGCUAGAGCUCUGAAGAAGGGAAGAAUCAAAGCGGGUAAGACUUUAUUUGUUAUAAAUACAACAAUCAAUGAAGAAUUAUUGGAGCAAAUGAGAGAUAUAAGACUGCAUUAAAGGAAGCAUGGAACACCUUGGCCUCACUAUUCUCGAAGAAAAAUGAUCUAAGGUUGUAGUUUUUGAAGAACGAGCUUCUCCCGAUUACUCAAUGAGAACUAGGGUGUCUUUGUCUACUAUUCUACUACAUUAUUUUUUCUACAGUACUUAUUUUCAACCUCACAUUCCUCAUUAAAAUAAUAUUACAUGUAAAUAAAAAAUUCUUCUUUUUUAACCCCACAUUUCAACAUCAAUCACUAUUCCAUAUUACAUUAUUCAAAUAAUGGGGGCACAAACACCCCCUUAAUGGUAAGUCAAUAUUUUAAUAAAGUUUAAAUUUCUCUGUUGUGAAAUAACUAUGUUAGAUGCUUCAAGUAAAAUUUCGAAGUCCAGAAUGAGAAGAAUAAUUAUAAAUGGAUUUGGGACCUGAAUUUAGAAGCUUUAUGGUCGCAAUACAAGGUUGGCUAGAGCAACCUUCAUCAGUCAAUCUUAAUAAUUUGUUGGCUAAUCAAGAAGCAAUGACUAGAACAGAUGUUAAGGGUCUCAAUAAAGAAAGAAGAAAAAGAACUAUAUAGUUAUAAAAGAAAAUGUCGACUGAUCAAUAAUAAAGAAUUAAAAGAAAAUAAACAUGAAGAAGGUUCUGUGAUAAUGGGAGCUAAACAAAGUUGCAAUAAGAGAGGUCAUAGGUAUCAACGAACUAAUGGCUUGUGUUUUGUAUGUAGAAAAUGAGAUAAUUAUACUAGAGAUUGCUGGUUUAAAAAGGAGCAAGCAAAAGGUAAUAUAGCAACCUCUGACGAAUAAGAAAUAUACAAUAGUGAAGAAUAAUGGGAUGCUGAGGCAUCCACAACAAUAAUUGAGUAGGCUCCAAAAAAGAAAUUUAAUUCAAGUUUAAAGGAUAAAUGAACAUUAGUAGUGGUCCUCCCUGAACAAAUAGAUUAUGAAGAUGAUUGGAUCAAUGACUUGGGAGAAGAUGAUUGGUCUUUUGGAGACAUUGUAGAGCAUGAAACACACACUAAAGAGAGUAGAGCUACUACGUUUAUAGAAAACGAAAGACAAAUUAUAAGAAGAGAUCACAGAAGUACAACAAAGCUACGGGGAGACAAAAGAUGUGCAAGGAUCAAGUGGUGAGAAGAAGUCUAUUAGUACAAUACAAAAAACUUGACAAAUGGAUAAGCAUCAGACAACACCAAAUGAUAUUAAACUAGGUCUAAAACAAGAUAUUGAGGUACAUGCGAAUUCACAAUCACAAAUAAGGAAGUUGGUUGAAUGUAAGAAAUCAAACACAAAUUAUCCUAGUCUAAAAGUAGAUAGAGGGGAAAACAUGGAAGUAUCAGAUAUAUUUGAAGUCACCAAUGCAUUUAAUAAAGGAUUGAGCGAUUCGAAAUUGGUCAAGUUUCAAGUAAAGCUGGAUGAGACUAAAAAGAAAAGAGUUAAAAUGAAAAGAGUGGGUGCUAAAGAGGAGAAUUGAAGAUGCAACACUACCUUGAAGGUGAAAAUCUCCAUAAUUUUCUAAUAAAGCUACCCUCUGCCACAUGGAGAAAUUAAAUUGAAAAGUGCUUGAACCAUCCUUACAUCAUUCAUCCGCCAACACAGUAGAAGAAACUAGAAUGCU